UUACGGCCACAUCACGUUGAAACACCGGUUCGCGUACGAUCACAAAGUUAAGCAAUGUUUGGCCAGUCAGUACCUAGAUGGGUGACUGCAUAGGAAUACCA